rnacentral:rRNA from 1 species
GACGAACGCUGGCGGCGUGCUUAACACAUGCAAGUCGAACGGAAAGGCCCUGCUUUUGUGGGGUGCUCGAGUGGCGAACGGGUGAGUAACACGUGAGUAACCUGCCCUUGACUUUGGGAUAACUUCAGGAAACUGGGGCUAAUACCGGAUAGGAGCUCCUGCUGCAUGGUGGGGGUUGGAAAGUUUCGGCGGUUGGGGAUGGACUCGCGGCUUAUCAGCUUGUUGGUGGGGUAGUGGCUUACCAAGGCUUUGACGGGUAGCCGGCCUGAGAGGGUGACCGGCAACAUGGGACCUGAGAAACGGCCCGGCUUCUACCGGGGGGAAGAGGGGGGGAAUAUUCAACAAGGGGCGAAAGCCGGAUGCAGCACCGCCGGGUGCGGGAUGCCGGCCUUCGGGUGGAAAACCGCUUUGGCCUGUGCCGAAGCGUGAGGGAGGGAAAUGGGAAAAGAAGCACCGGCAAACUCGGG